AUUGAACGUUGGCGGCAGGCCUAACACAUGCAAGUCGAACGAGUGGCGGACGGGUGAGUAAUGUCUGGGAAACUGCGCGAUGGAGGGGGAUAACUACUGGAAACGGUAGCUAAUACCGCAUACCAUCGGAUGUGCCCAGAUGGGAUUAGCUAGUAGGUGGGGUAACGGCUCACCUAGGCGACGAUCCCUAGCUGGUCUGAGAGGAUGACCAGCCACACUGGGACUGAGACACGGUCCAGACUCCUACGGUAGGCAGUAGUGGGGAAGAUUGCACAAUGGGCGCAAGCCUGAUGCAGCCAUGCCGCGUGUAUGAAGAAGACCUUCGGGUUGUAAAGUACUUUCAGCGAGGAGGCGUUACGCGCAGAAGAAGCAGCGGCUAACGCCGUGCCAGCAGCCGCGGUAAUUC
rnacentral:rRNA from 1 species